CUGUUGUCCCCUUCUUCUGGGCACGUUGCUUGACUACAUUUCUUAGUCUGCCUUGCAGUGAUGAGGGACACCUCCAGGCCAAAGUGUCUGUAGUGGGCACAGCUCCUUCAGGGUCUUCUGCAACUUCCCACCAGCAACGUGUGAGAUGUGGCCAAGGCCCUGUUUUGGCAACGAGAAGCCGUUGGCAACAGCAGAACACAGCUUGAGGGAAGCUGUAUCACGACCGUUUCCAGCCCACCAACCUGGAAUGCUCACCUUGCCCUGCUGUAUGAGAGAGAGAAGGUCACGUGAAGAGAAUGAAAAGACCAGCUGUGGACUGGGAGGAGAUAUUGCAAACCACGUGUCUGUCAGAAGGCUGGUGUCUAGGAUGUAUGCACUCUCAAAACUCAAUCGUAGAGAAACAAGCAAGCCGAUUAUGAAGUGGACAAAAGCUACGAACAUUUUCCUGAAGAGGAUGUAUAGCUGGCACAUAAGCACGGGGGAUAAUAUUCAACAUGAUUGGCCAUUAGGAUCCGUCCAGGAUGCCACAUUCCAUGUCCCCUCAGGCUCCUCCCAGCUGUGACAGUUUCUCAGAUCUUCUGUGUCUUUGAUAGCCUUGACUAUGAUGAGGAGCAUGGUCAGGUAUAUUGUAGAAUAUACCUCGAUCAGGUUUGUUUGGUGUUUUUCUCAUGAUUUGACUGGGGUCAUGGGGUUUUGGGAGGAAGAUUACAGAGGAAAAGUGCCUUCAUCUUUGUAUGAUAUCAGGGGCGUCUGCUGUCACUGUAACUUACCAUUGAUGAUGUUGACCUUUGCCCCUGGCUAGGAAGUGUCUGCCAGUCUUCCCACUAUAAAGUUAUUUUCUGUUUCCUCUUUCAGACAGUACGCUUUGGGACGAAGUCACCAUGGGCAGUGAACAUUUAAGGAUGGAAGAUUUUUGCUCCACCUGAGGAGUAUCUACAACAAACU